rnacentral:tRNA from 1 species
AGGUGAGUAAGUUAAGUUUAAACUACGGGGUUCAUGUCCCCGCAAUAUGGUUUUCAUCUCACCCA